AUCGCGCAUGCGCUCAGUCGGCGUGAGGCUCACAAGGACCGGCUGCAGCACGAAUUGACACUUUCACUAGUUCAACGGACUCGGAGUCCGUAGCGGUUGGAGCAUUUUCAUUGUGUGCUGCAUCUGCGAGGCUGAGUCGGGCGGCGCUGUGGAAGUAUAGCGGAGGUAUUCCCUUCUGCCGCCUGCGUGGGAUGGCGAGGCUGUCGGGACCCUGAGGGCUUGUGGAAACUGUGUGCUGGUUUCUUUUCGAACUUAUAGUCUUUUAACAUCUUUGGACUAUUUUAACUGUGCCCAUGGUCUGUUUUUUUUUAAUCAAUUAUGCUAUUGUUUGCUCUGUUGUAAAUAUAUGUUGUAAUUAUGUGGUUUUGUGCAGGUCUUGUAUCUUUAGUUUUUGGUCUUGUUUUGUCUGGUGAUUUGGAGCUACUUUAGGAAUAAGCAGCAUCCUCUCCGGACUCUGGAUUGGGGAUUGCCAAACGUUACGUGGAUUUUCUGGUGUAGUCUGUUCUGUAAUGUGCUUUUGUGAUAUCUCAUAAAACGUUGUCUCAUUUUUAA